AUAGNUGACCUCAAAUCAGGUAGGACUACCCGCUGAACUUAAGCAUAUUAAUAAGCGGAGGAAAAGAAACUAACAAGGAUUCCCCUAGUAACUGCGAGUGAAGCGGGAAAAGCUCAAAUUUAAAAUCUGGCGGUCUCUGGCCGUCCGAGUUGUAAUCUAGAGAAGUAAUGCCCGUGCUGGACCGUGUAUAAGUCUCCUGGGAUGGAGCGUCAUAGAGGGUGAGAAUCCCGUCUUUGACACGGACUACCAGUGCAUUGUGGUAUGCUCUCAAAGAGUCGAGUUGUUUGGGAAUGCAGCUCAAAAUGGGUGGUAAAUUCCAUCUAAAGCUAAAUAUUGGCGAGAGACCGAUAGCGAACAAGUACCGUGAGGGAAAGAUGAAAAGAACUUUGGAAAGAGAGUUAAACAGUACGUGAAAUUGCUGAAAGGGAAACGCUUGAAGUCAGUCGCGUUGGCCAGGGAUCAGCCUUGCUUUUGCAUGGUGUACUUUCUGGUUGACGGGUCAGCAUCAAUUUUGACCGCUGGAAAAGGGCCUGGGGAAUGUGGCAGCUUCGGCUGUGUUAUAGCCCCUGGUCGCAUACAGUGGUUGGGAUUGAGGAACUCAGCACGCCGCAAGGCCGGGUUUCGACCACGUUCGUGCUUAGGAUGCUGGCAUAAUGGC
rnacentral:rRNA from 1 species